UACGUAGGCAGCAAGCGUUGUUCGGAGUUACUGGGCGUAAAGGGUGCGUAGGCGGUUGUUUAAGUUUGGUGUGAAAUCUCCCGGCUCAACUGGGAGGGUGCGCCGAAUACUGAAUGACUUGGAGUGCGGGAGAGGAAAGUGGAAUUCCUGGUGUAGCGGUGAAAUGCGUAGAUAUCAGGAGGAACACCGGUGGUGUAGACGGCUUUCUGGACCGUAACUGACGCUGAGACACGAAAGCGUGGGUAGCAAACAGG
rnacentral:rRNA from 1 species